rnacentral:rRNA from 1 species
AGAGUUUGAUCAUGGCUCAGGACGAACGCUGGCGGCGUGCUUAACACAUGCAAGUCGAACGGUAUCAACCGAGCAGUAAUGUGAGGUUGGUAUAGUGGCGGACGGGUGAGUAACGCGUGAGCAAUCUGCCCACAAGAGGGGGAUAACACCGGGAAACCGGUGCUAAUACCGCAUAAGACCACGGUGCCACAUGGCACAGGGGUAAAAGGUAGCAAUACCGCUUAUGGAUGAGCUCGCGUCCCAUUAGCUAGUUGGUGAGGUAACGGCUCACCAAGGCCGCGAUGGGUAGCCGACCUGAGAGGGUGAUCGGCCACACUGGAACUGAGACACGGUCCAGACUCCUACGGGAGGCAGCAGUGGGGAAUAUUGGGCAAUGGGCGAAAGCCUGACCCAGCAACGCCGCGUGAGGGAAGAAGGUUUUCGGAUUGUAAACCUCUGUCCUUGGGGAAGAAAAAAAUGACGGUACCCAAGGAGGAAGCCCCGGCUAACUACGUGCCAGCAGCCGCGGUAAUACGUAGGGGGCGAGCGUUGUCCGGAAUUACUGGGCGUAAAGGGUGCGUAGGUGGUUGCCUAAGUCAGAUGUGAAAUCCCCGGGCUUAACUCGGGUGGUGCAUUUGAAACUGGGUAACUUGAGUGCAGGAGAGGGAAGCGGAAUUCCUAGUGUAGCGGUGAAAUGCGUAGAUAUUAGGAGGAACACCAGUGGCGAAGGCGGCUUUCUGGACUGUAACUGACACUGAGGCACGAAAGCGUGGGGAGCAAACAGGAUUAGAUACCCUGGUAGUCCACGCGGUAAACGAUGGAUACUAGGUGUAGGGGGCGUAAAGCCUUCUGUGCCGCA